UUAUGAUUUAGAAUUUCUAAGACGUUUAUCAGAUGUUUGUACAGAUCAAGCGCUGUUUUAUGUUCGUACAUAAAUUAGUGUCUAAAACGUUUGUUCAUGUUCAGUUCAACUUUACGAUUAUAUUGACAAAACAG